UCCUACGGGAGGCAGCAGUGAGGAAUAUUGGUCAAUGGGCGCAAGCCUGAACCAGCCAUCCCGCGUGCAGGAAGACGGCCCUAUGGGUUGUAAACUGCUUUUCCAGGGGGAGAAUUUUUCUGUCGUGACAGGAAUUGACGGUACCCUGGGAAUAAGCAUCGGCUAACUCCGUGCCAGCAGCCGCGGUAAUA
rnacentral:rRNA from 1 species